AGGAAUACAUGGGAAUCUGCCCAGUCGUGGGGAUAACGUAGGGAAACUUACGCUAAUACCGCAUGCGCCCUUCGGGGGAAAGCCGGGGACCUUCGGGCCUGGCGCGAUUGGAUGAGCCCAUGUCGGAUUAGCUAGUUGGUCGGGUAAAGGCCCACCAAGGCGACGAUCCGUAGCUGGUCUGAGAGGAUGAUCAGCCACACUGGAACUGAGACACGGUCCAGACUCCUACGGGAGGCAGCAGUAGGGAAUAUUGGACAAUGGGCGCAAGCCUGAUCCAGCCAUGCCGCGUGUGUGAAGAAGGCCUUCGGGUUGUAAAGCAACUUUUAUCCGGAAAGAAAAGCGCUGGGUUAAUACCCUGGUGUCCUGACGGUACCGGAAGAAUAAGCACCGGCUAACUUCGUG
rnacentral:rRNA from 1 species